CAAUAGCGUAUAUUAAAGCUGUUGCGGUUAAAAAGCUCGUAGUUGGAUUUCUGUCAAGGACAACUGGUCCGCCCUCCGGGUGAGCACAUAGUUUGGUCUUGACAUCUUGCUGGAAGCUGUUGCUGCACUUGGCUGUGUGGCGCAGUGUUCAGCACUUUCACUUUGAGGAAAUUGGAGUGUUUCAAGCAGGCACAUGCCUUUGGACACAGUAGCAUGGAAUAAUUAGAUUGGGCUUUUGCUCCAAUUUGUCGGUUUCUGGAGCUGAGGUGAGUAUUAAUGGGGAUUGUUGGGGGCACCCGAAUUUAGCCGUCAGAGGUGAAAUUCUUGGAUCUGCUAAAGACGGACAACUGCGAAAGCGUUUGCCCAGGAUGUUUUCAUUG
rnacentral:rRNA from 1 species